AAUAAUUUAAUAAAUUCAGUUUAUUGUUAUUAUCUUUUUAUUUAAAAUUUGCGGAGUAAAUAGAACUUGUAAGGACCCAAAUCUGCCCAGGCCCAACAACCAAAAACUAAAAUUAAAAAACAAAUCCAAAUAACUAAAUUUCAAGUCCAUUUACAAUGUUAAACAGCCCAAAAAUCAAAACUACCCAAGCCCAAUUUAUAUGACCCUAGACCCAACAUUUAAAACCCAUAACCCAAUAUCCAAAUAAAAUAAAUUGGGUCCAAAUGGCCCAAGAUCAGAUUAUCCAUAGAAAACCUAGGGUUUCCACCUUGGCGCCGCAGCCUCCAGCAUCCGUAAGCUCCCACGCACGACCCUCGUACGCCCCAGCACCCCUCGUGCCUCCACGUCCUCCUCCGUACCUGCAAGAAGACAAACAACAAAACAAUAGCAGCGAAUAGAAACAAAGAACAAUUGUAUAUUUUUUACUUUUUUCUUUUUUCCGGGGAAAAAGCCAUAGUCUUUAAUCUUUGUAAAAGGAGGCAAACACAGACAUUUUACAUACUGAAAUACAAAAGAAAAAGGAACCGAAGAAAAAGGUGAUUUCAUGAGUUUCAUUCAUUUCCUCUAAAUCAGUUCCAUCGCUCUUUCAUUUCGCUUUGACUUCUUUUUGUAUAACGAAAAAAACAGAGGACUUACCUCGCUUCUAGGCCGUCGGUCCCCUAUCACUUCGUUGUAAUCGGAGAUAGAAGGGGGAUCUGAGGCCAAAAUAGGCCAUACUUCGAAGCUUGGGGCGUCGGUCACCGCACCUUGCGGCGGGCUGGUACUUUUUUGAGGGAGAAAAUAGAGGUACGGCUGAAGAAAAAGGGAGUUAGGGUUUGUA
rnacentral:lncRNA from 1 species